rnacentral:rRNA from 1 species
GACUUGGGCUACACACGUGCUACAAUGGCGUAAACAAAGAGACGCAACCCUGUGAAGGCAAGCAAAUCUCAAAAAUAACGUCUCAGUUCGGAUUGUAGUCUGCAACUCGACUACAUGAAGCUGGAAUCGCUAGUAAUCGCGAAUCAGAAUGUCGCGGUGAAUACGUUCCCGGGUCUU